GCCAAUUCAUUCAGGAAAUCUUGAAAUUCAUCAUUAAAUUUUAGAUUUGAUUAUAAAAAGGGGAUUUUGAGUUCUGCUACAUAACAAACAUAUGAAGUGCAUGAGAAACAUAAGUGAUCUAUUUUUUCACAAGUCAUUUCUAAUCAAAUUAUUAAUGCUUACUCUAAAAUUUAAUGAUUCUACACCUACUGUCUAUAGAAAUCUAAUUCCAAUCUAGUCUAGUCUAGUAUUUUAAUACAAAAAACUUAGAUGCCACGGUGCCACCUGUCCCCUUCCUUUUAUGUAUCAUUUAAAAAAAAAAUCAACAUCAAUUCACCAUCUAAUCCAUGUAUUUCUUCAAUCUCUUCCACUUUAUCUUCCCCCUUUUCAAUAUUAAUUGAAUCAAUUUCUCAAUUGUUCCCCCUUCCUUUUGAUUCUGUCUCUCUUAAUGUCAAUCACCAACUUACCAAUUACCAUAGCUUGGAGAAUGAGUCUAGUGUGACACUUUAACCGUAAACGAAACCAAGAGACUAAUUCCCCAAAUAAUAAUGUGAAAACCUUUUCGAACUUGUCACAUGGAACAAUAAUAACCUACUAAUGUAUUACAUAUACUUACAGGCUUUCUAGAGCAUUAAAAUUUCCGGUCCACCAAGAUGGAACUCAUUAAAUAAAAAAGUAGCAAUCGCCAUUUUGAUUCACAACAAGAUAUUUCCCAAAGGGGUGACCUGAGAACACAAGAGUUAAUUAGCCACAGACCACCAUAAUAUUAGUAAUGGCAACACCAUAUUUGCAAAGCUAAUUACAGCUUGUGUUCUCAGUAUCACUCCUCUGGGGUGUAUCCCCUGUUUCCCUUUAGGACUUCAAUCUCUAAUCAAAUCACAUUCUCUAUUUAAAAUUUGGUUGCAUUCUAUAUUUCUAUUGUUAUUCUGUGUUUUAUAUGGUAAAAACAUGACACUAUGUUGUCACGUGACGACAUAGUCAUUUAUGUCUUGGCAUACUUCUUCUAUGAUGUUGUCAUUCUUUAGUCAAAACACUUCAGCAACUACUAGUAGAUAGACCGCAUGGAUGGGUAUAUGAGCCAUUGUGUUUGUCCACUCGGAUGUUAAAAUAUCUUCAUAAAAUGAGUCAUCAACCUCCCAUCUUCCACGCCCUUAUAAAUAAAUUUGACUGUCAACCAUUUCUUUUACCUCCUCACACAAUCAACUUCAUCAUUGUACCUUUUGUAAAGGAAGAUAUAUACCUAGUCUUGGGACAGUGUGGCCUUGAGGGUGCCUUAUAAUAAGAGGAUCCCGAAAAGCCUUAGCAAGAUCCUCAGAGGGAAGCUUUAACCAAUCCUUUUCUCCAAUAAAGUGAACUGAUUUAACCUUGUUAGGUUCUUUGUAGGCAACUUCACAAAUGCUUGGAAUCCGGAACUUCGAUCCAGAAACUGAUAUGAAGAAUUUGAAAGGUGGAUGAUCCUUCAACACCUUCCCCUGUGAUUGGUAUCCAAUUAGAAGAGCUGACAAUGUUGCUCCCUG